rnacentral:rRNA from 1 species
GCGACGCCGCGUGAGGGAUGACGGCCUUCGGGUGGUAAACCUCUUCAGCAGGGAAGAAGCGCAAGUGACGGUACCUGCAGAAGAAGCACCGGCUAACUACGUGCCAGCAGCCGCGGUAAUACGUAGGGUGCGAGCGUUGUCCGGAAUUAUUGGGCGUAAAGAGCUUGUAGGUGGUUUGUCGCGUCUGCUGUGAAAAUCCGAGGCUCAACCUCGGACUUGCAGUGGGUACGGGCAGACUAGAGUGUGGUAGGGGAGACUGGAAUUCCUGGUGUAGCGGUGGAAUGCGCAGAUAUCAGGAGGAACACCGAUGGCGAAGGCAGGUCUCUGGGCCAUUACUGACACUGAGAAGCGAAAGCAUGGGGAGCGAACAGGAUUAGAUACCCUGGUAGUCCAUGCCGUAAACGUUGGGAACUAGGUGUGGGUCUCAUUCCACGAGAUCCGUGCCGCAGCUAACGCAUUAAGUUCCCCGCCUGGGGAGUACGGCCGCAAGGCUA